GAUGAACGCUGGCGGCGUGCUUAACACAUGCAAGUCGAACGGUGAAGGCGGAGCUUGCUCUGCUGGAUCAGUGGCGAACGGGUGAGUAACACGUGAGCAAUCUGCCCCUGACUCUGGGAUAAGCGCUGGAAAAGGCGUCUAAUACUGGAUACGAGCUGCGAAGGCAUCUUCAGCAGCUGGAAAGAAUUUCGGUCCGGGAUGAGCUCGCGGCCUAUCAGCUUGUUGGUGAGGUAAUGGAUCACGAAGGCGUCGACGGGUAGCCGGCCUGAGAGGGUGGCCGGCCACACUGGGACUGAGAGAGGGCGCAGUCGCCUACGGGAGGCAGUAGUGGGGAAUAUGGCGCAAUGGGCGAAAGCCUGAUGCAGCGACGCCGGGUGAGGGACGACGGCCCUCGGGUUGUAAACCUCUUUUAGCGGGGAAGAAGCGAAAGUGACGGUACCUGCAGAAAAAGCGCCGGCUAACUACGUG
rnacentral:rRNA from 1 species